GGAGAGAUGUCCGAGUGGCUGAAGGAGCACGCCUGGAAAGUGUGUAUACGUUAAUAGCGUAUCGAGGGUUCGAAUCCCUCUCUCUCCG
rfam:Endosymbiont of Loripes lucinalis isolate G_E NODE_3_length_476413_cov_63.0541_ID_5, whole genome shotgun sequence.